CCUACGGGAGGCAGCAGUGGGGAAUAUUGGGCAAUGGGCACAAGCCUGACCCAGCAACGCCGCGUGAAGGAAGAAGGCUUUCGGGUUGUAAACUUCUUUUCUCAGGGACGAAGCAAGUGACGGUAACUGAGGAAUAAGCCACGGCUAACUACGUGCCAGCAGCCGCGGUAAUCCGUAGGUGGCAAGCGUUAUCCGGAUUUACUGGGUGGAAAGGGCGUGUAGGCGGGAAAGCAAGUCAGAUGUGAAAACCAUGGGCUCAACCUGUGGCCUGCAUUUGAAACUGUUUUUCUUGAGUACAGGAGAGGCAGACGGAAUUCCUAGUGUAGCGGUGAAAUGCGUAGAUAUUAGGAGGAACACCAGUGGCGAAGGCGGUCUGCUGGACAGCAACUGACGCUGAGGCGCGAAAGCGUGGGGAGCAAACAGGAUUAGAUACCCUAGUAGUC
rnacentral:rRNA from 1 species